CUACGUGCCAGCAGCCGCGGUAAUACGUAGGUCCCGAGCGUUGUCCGGAUUUAUUGGGCGUAAAGCGAGCGCAGGCGGUUAGAUAAGUCUGAAGUUAAAGGCUGUGGCUUAACCAUAGUACGCUUUGGAAACUGUUUAACUUGAGUGCAAGAGGGGAGAGUGGAAUUCCAUGUGUAGCGGUGAAAUGCGUAGAUAUAUGGAGGAACACCGGUGGCGAAAGCGGCUCUCUGGCUUGUAACUGACGCUGAGGCUCGAAAGCGUGGGGAGCAAACAGGAUUAGAUUCCCUGGUAGUCCACGCCGUAAACGAUGAGUGCUAGGUGUUAGACCCUUUCCGGGGUUUAGUGCCGUAGCUAACGCAUUAAGCACUCCGCCUGGGGAGUACGACCGCAAGGUUGAAACUCAAAGGAAUUGACGGGGGCCCGCACAAGCGGUGGAGCAUGUGGUUUAAUUCGAAGCAACGCGAAGAACCUUACCAGGUCUUGACAUCCCUCUGACCGCUCUAGAGAUAGAGUUUUC
rnacentral:rRNA from 1 species